UGAUGCCCUCUUCUAACCUUGCAGGCACCAGGCACACAAGUGGUGUACAUACAUACAUGUAGGCAAAACACUCAUACACAUAAAAUAAAUCUUAAAAACAUCUUAAUUGAAUAUGUAGGUAAGACAGUUUGAAUCUGAAUGUCCUCCACAGGCUCGUGUUUUUGCAUUUCUGGUUCCCCAGGUGAUGGUACUGUUUUGGAGGUUGUGGAGCCUUUAAAAGUUGAAGCCUGGCUGUCUAAAGUAGUUAGCCAGUGGUGGGGUCUUUAAUGUACUGCCUGGGUCUGGUCCUUCUCCCUUUGCUUCAUGGUCCACUGGAUGUGACAACUCUCUUCAUGGUCCUGCUGCCACAGACAGAGCCCUCCUCCUACCUUCCCGCUGUGAUGGAUUCAGCUCUCCAACACCAUAAGCCCAAAUAAGCGUUUCUGCCCUUAAGUUGUUGGUGAGCAUUGGACCGUGAUGACGAGGAAGUAGCCGAUACAGACACAUCCCUCGAAGACGCCCCUAAGGUGUGCCUUGCCACCAGGUUAUGUCCAUGGGUGAUUUCCACUGAGAGGGCAGUUGAAUGAACUCAGUACUGAAAGUAGCAUCCCAUACUGCUUCGGUGGUACAUGCUGGAGGAUGAAUGCUGAAGAGGAGGAGUCAGGAGGAUCGUGAGUUCAAAGCCAGCCGGAAGUGUACCGCACCCUUCUGAACCCUUUAAAUAGGAUGUCUAAAAGACUCAAGGGUGCUGGAGUCUGACUGCAAACUGCCAUCCAGCUGCUCUGAAGGGAGAAAAGGACAUGGUCAGCCAAAGAAAAUACUGCACGUGCCAGCAAGAGAAUCUUAUGUGAUCACUUAGCAAGCCGAUCGUAUUUUGACCCUCUUCACUAUAUUUUGGAGCAUUCAAAUUUAAGUCCCUACAGGUGGAACUGAAUGUGGAGAAAAAUAAUUGAACUUUACAUCAACACAUAAAUAGCAUUUUUCCCAAGCAAAUGAAACCUCCAAAUAGGACUAAAACUUGCACUCCUGAACAUCUUGUAACAGUGACUGGAAGUCCUAAUAUACCCAGUUUUCUUUCCUCUCUUUACUUCAUUACAGAAUUGGCACAGGAAACACUCCAUUCCUUGUUGGAAUGCAGCCAUCUCCCGCACAGAGAGCAACAAACUCUUUAAUAGCUACACAAUAAAGCAUUUCACAAAGCUAUGUAAAGAUAGCCCGGGUCAAAGGAAGCUACUCUCCAGCACCAUUUCAAGCUGCGACUUAGCUGGUGUGCAUGUAGUCAGGGUGGCCAAGGAACCUCAGAUGGGCCUGUGUUUGGGGGCAGGAAUUACCUUUAAAGGAGGUAACUGAAUUAAAAUAAAGUCAUUAGUGUAGACCCUAGUCUACUGUGAUGAGUGACCUUUUGAGACACAGAGGAAAGACCAAGUACAGACUCAGGGAGAAAAUGCUCAUCUAUAAAUGAGAGAGACAGAGAGACAGAGACAGAGAGAAAGCGCUUAGAAGAAGCUGAUCUUGAUGGCACCUUGAACUUCAACUUCUAGAACUGUAGGGAAAAUGAUUUCUCUGUUGAACCCACCCAGUCUGUGGCAUUUGUUGUGGUGACACUUGUACACCAAUUCAGCCACGGUGAUGGGCAACAGCAGCAGCCCUACGUUUGGUUCUUUGAGUCCAGAAACCCCAAAUGUAGCAGGCAGCAAGCGCCAUGUCUGCACCUGCUGGCUAAUCUGGCUUCUCUCCCCAAGUGGCUGGAGUCUUCCCCUCAUCCACUCAUGGACUUAGUUAUUUUCAAACUCACAUACAAGAUAUGAUAACCUAAAUUAGUCCCAGCAGGAAGUAACUAAAGAGCUAGUUUCUUUCUGUGAUUGCACACAUGCACACAUGCAUUAAUAACUGAUAAAUAUUCUAAUAAGUGCUUUAAAGGUCAACAAGAGGCAAAUUCUUAGCAAGGCAAAGUGAGCGCAUAAAUAAGCUGUGUGGGAGAAAUUCAGAGCCUAUUUAUGUUUUUUCUCUCAGUCAUGUACUGAAGCAUGAGGAUUUAUAUGAAUCUGUUGGGAAUAGUGAUAGCCUGUUCUGGACACGUUGGGGAGGGGAGCACGUCUUCCUUUAAUUCAGAGUGUGUAUUUGAGAAAAUUCCCACCAAAAUGUAUUAAACACAGGAAAUAGAGAGCAUUAAGUUAGGAACUGAAAUAAGUACAGCAAGAUGACUUUUCAGUCUGCAUGACAUUAUCCCACCGUGUCUGUGGGAUUUGGGUUCUUUGGGAUAGCUGUGCUCUGUCUGGACUUCCCAGCUUCUCUGGGAAGGAGGGGACAGAGAAUGGGGAGGAUCAAACAGACAGAUGUUGACCCAGAGGAUUCCUAGGCUGGCCGUGCAUCUACCGCUCUACGUCUUGACAAGGUGCCUCCAAGGCUACUUGGAGCAUACAUCUUCGAUACAUACAUGCCUCCAUUUCUUUCCAAGUGAUGUACUUGUUCUACUUGUUAAUUCAGUGUGUGUGUGUGUGUGUGUGUGUGUGUGUGUGUGUGUGUGUGUGUGUGUGUUAAAGCAUUCUCAAAGACAGCUUUUGUAAGAAUGACUUUAAUAUUCACUUUCUUCUCAUGGGUUUACCCGUGUUUUCCAUGUUCAUGAUCUUGUUGCGUAUGGCCUAGGAGGUAGGCAGAGUUUUACUGCCUUGAACAUAUAUCUAUCCAUUGUGAGACUCUAUGGUUUUAAAAACUCAUGGAUUUUGUGUGUGCAAAGGAGCACAUGGUAUGCACUACUUAUACUGAUUAUACCUAGAGCCACAAUGCCAACUUUCCAGAAAUUCUGCAUGGCUCACAUGCUAAACAGUAACAUAUGGGCUCCUUUUUUAGUUUUUGGGCUCCAAAGUCUCUUUUCCCAUUCUUGAUUGGAGUUACACUCCAAGGUAUGGUCAAGUGUGACUCUUGACAUCAUAGCAAAAGAAAGGAGCAGUGUGUGGAGGGGAAGUUCAGCAUUCAGUGCUGUGACUUCUGUUCCUCCUUAUAUAUAACCAUAAAUAUAUGAGAUAAGCUAGGGCAAAAGUCUCCUCCUCACGGUGUCCAUAGGAAGCAUGCUUGGCUCAGCAGGGCCUUUCACUUCACGUCUGGUUAUUUUUCUUUGUACUAAAUGUAAGUCAAGUUAAAAUCACUUCUUAUUGCUUAAAAUACUAAGUUUGAGGUGAUCUGCUGUAACGAAGCCCUUUAUCUACCUGGUCCCUCUUAAAAUAGCUCCUCACUUGAGCAAUAGGGGAGCAUAAAUUCGGGGUUGUGAAAUUUAAUGCCUUCAUCUUGUCUUGUUUCUGCUUUCUCCUGGAACACUUCUAGAUCGCCUAAAGUAGUUUUGUCCUGUAAACGUAUACUGUGUAAGACCUAUACAGUUAUUUUCCUUCAAAACAAAUCCGACAUCAUCAUGCAAGUGAAUUAGUGAAUCAAUCCAGGGAUUUCUUUUUCUCCCACUGGUGAAAGGGGACUUUGCAGAUCAGAGCAAGAGUGAAGAUCCUUGUGCUUUGGGUCAAGCUGCACCUACUGUCCUGAGGAGGACGCAGCAUGGUCAAUUUGAAGACUCCAUCAUUCCACUGGAGACAGACCACACAUUCCAUAUUCCCUUACAGUGUCCAUGUCAUGACCCACAGUGUCCACUUUACAAGGUGGCUGUGUGUGCACAAUAUUAUGCCUCAGUCAUAAAGCCAGUGUUUUCUUUAGAUUUAGCAUAAUGGUUUCUAGAGACUGCAAGUCACACAAUCCUGGUAUGCAAAUACAGCGUGAGACCUCAGAAAUCAUCUAAUACUCUAAUAUAUCAUCAACUCUUUCUAGUUGAGGAAGUCACAGCCCAGAGAGGUGAGGUAUCUUUUCACUGAGAAGUCAUCAGCAUGUAUCCUGGCUGGUUUUGUAUCAACCUGACACAAGCUAGAGUCAUCAGAGGAAGGAGCCUCAGCUGAUGAAAUGCCUCCAUGAGAUCCAGCU